GCUCAGGACGAACGCUGGCGGCGUGCUUAACACAUGCAAGUCGAACGAAGAGCGAUGGAAGCUUGCUUCUAUCAAUCUUAGUGGCGAACGGGUGAGUAACGCGUAAUCAACCUGCCCUUCAGAGGGGGACAACAGUUGGAAACGACUGCUAAUACCGCAUACGAUCUAACCUCGGCAUCGAGGAUGGAUAAAAGGUGGCCUCUAUUUAUAAGCUAUCACUGAAGGAGGGGAUUGCGUCUGAUUAGCUAGUUGGAGGGGUAACGGCCCACCAAGGCGAUGAUCAGUAGCCGGUCUGAGAGGAUGAACGGCCACAUUGGGACUGAGACACGGCCCAGACUCCUACGGGAGGCAGCAGUGGGGAAUCUUCCGCAAUGGACGAAAGUCUGACGGAGCAACGCCGCGUGAGUGAUGACGGCCUUCGGGUUGUAAAGCUCUGUUAAUCGGGACGAAUGGUUCUUGUGCAAAUAGUGCGAGGAUUUGACGGUACCGGAAUAGAAAGCCACGGCUAACUAC
rnacentral:rRNA from 1 species